CUCUCAGCCCGCAGGACCUGCAGCAGCCUGUGAAGGUGAGGGAGCAGUGAGGAAAGGAUUGUCUAAAAAACAGAAAAAGGAGGAAUUGAUGUGGAAAACAGACUAGAACUUUUGGUAGUUCCUACUAAGUUGUAAAAUAUUUUACUUCAAAGCUCAAUGAGCAGGAGUUAGCUCACAAAAGCAAAUACCUGCAUCAUUUCUGUGAAACACAGACCCUGUUUUACUGGCACAAUAUUGAUUGAUGCAACUCAACAUGAACCCUUCCUGCUCGGGCCUAUGAAGAUAGAAGCACUGUUAAAAUCAUGCUUAGUCACGGGAUUCCACAUGAAAGCUUCUGAAAAGGCUUUAUUAUUUCAACUGGAAUAAGAAUGCAACUUUGCUGAUAUUUGAGGAGUUGAAAAAAAAAAGAAAAGAAAGCAGUUUAGGUAAAUCAGGAAGAAACAACAAGCUCUGUGAGCCUUUAUUUUUUGUAAAGAACUGCUCAGAAGAGAGUUUUCAAUUAAGCUGAAAACACGUUUGUGUACAUCUCCAGUUGAAGCUGAAUAUCCUCCAGGUCACUGAGGAUUUCCAGCGCUCUGCAGCACCUGCUGAUGCUGAUUGCUCCUGAAGAUGUUGGCUAAACAAAGCUGCACCAGGAGCACUCUGACAGGAGACAGUGGGAGCUCCCACUCGGGGCUCUAAUGAGUGAUUUAUUUGUUCCCUUCUCCCCGGGCUCACCCAUCAUUACGUGUUCAUUAAGUAAUAAUUGCCAUUGAUCGACAGGCUGCUGUAUGGAUGAUGGUAAAAGAAACAGGGCUAUUAAACCUUCACUGCCUAGAACAAGUGCAUGCCACAACCAAUAAGGCAGAUUAAUGAGAAGAAUUAGACUAAGAAUAGUUAUAUCAUGGACCACUUCCUUCCUUUUCUUUUUAUUUAUGAUUAGAGACAAGUGUAGGGCAUUUUAGACAUUCAGAAAUAAAAGAGAAAACAUAUCAAAUCAAAUUUAUGCUAUCCAAGGGCUUCUGACCCUCAACAGCAGCUGGUCAUUACCUGUACUAAUAAUUAAAUUGGUUUGGUGGUUGUCAGCUGGGCUUCAUAAAGAGCAUGUAGAUCAGUUGGAGUAAAGGACAAGAGGGUAUCACAAAUAAGAUUCAAAGUCAAAUCAGGCUUCUGAUGGAUCAGUUGUGAAUAAGUCCUUGUAUAAAUAAAUAUUUAAAAGCUCUGAAAGACCUUGUAUCAUUUGGGGAGAGUGGCCAAUUUAUGAUGACUGAAAUUAUUAUUUUAUCAUACUCAUCCCAGUGUAUUAUUUUCAGAAUCAGGGGUAGGAAUAAGUUUUGGGAUCUUCUCAUCCCAUGAGAGAAGGUUGCCAUAAAGCCUUGACCAGAGCUGUGCCUCUGGACUCAAGGUGCUGUGCCUUUGAAAACACAUUUCGAUUUUGGUUUUUGGUGCCCUUAAUUCUAUACAUUGAAACAUUUUUGCCUCUCAGUAGGAUUAUAGCAGCUCCCUGUCUUUCUUUUGGUAGCUUUUUCCAGCUGGAUGUUCGUGUCUAAACCGAAUUAUUGAAAAUUUUCUCUCACAGUGCAUUUGUUUCUGAGUUACAGCAUCAUAUAUUGAUGUUUCUUUGGCUUGUUUUGCUUUGUUGCAUCUGCAGAUCAGGUCAGCAUUGCCAUUACAAUUGGGCCAAAUGGCAGUGGCUGUCUAACAAACUUGAUGGGUUUUGAGCACAGGUAAUUUCUCCUUUCCAUUGUGGUCUCAGGCCUCCUGCAAUCAAUCUUUUAAUGAAAAAAGAAAUGCCUUUUGUUGAUUUUUACAGACUGAAAGGUCAGGACAGCACUUAAUGAGAGCAAAAGAUGGAGCAAAGUGGGAGACAGGAGAGGGUUAAUUAAGAACACUGAUUGCAGCAAUUUUAUAAUUCCAGAAACCACUGUCUGUGUUGGGCCUUUAAAAAUACAGCUUUAAUUAUUAUGCUGGGUAAGAAAAGUACCUUAGGGUGGAUUCUGCCAGUGCUGUGCCAUUGAUUGCUGCAGAAAUCUGAUACUGCAGUAUUUCCUCUGCCACUGCUGCCAGGGCUGGCUCAGAAUAUCCACUGGAACUGCUUGAAAUUCAGCAGCAGUGGGAACUCAGAGGCAAAAGUUUCCAGUCUGCAUCUCAGUCCCACAGUAGCCUUGAUGAAAAGCUGGAUAAUUAUUUUUAAAUAUGGCAAAUAAAAAGAAUUGUUUAAUUUUUUACACAUAUUCCUGUUUAAUCACUUUAAAACCAAAAAGGCAAAACUGUUAAUGGUGCCACACUUAGAAAAGGAGUUUAGGCCUGCCAGCCCUCCUGAAUUUGUCUGAACAUCAGCUGAGUGUGAGAAAAGAGCAAUAUUAUUAAAAAUAUUGCGUGAGGUGUUUCCUGUCUUAUGAAAUACUAUUCUUGGCUUACUGUGAGUUACAGCAAUAGAUCAUAACAGGGGAACAUGAUGGACUAGAAUGGCCAAAAGAAUAAAAACCAUUAUUUGGAUACAUUUCCUCCAUGCUUAACUCCAUUUUAAGAAUAGAUCCUGUAUUUUCUUUAAUGACUCCUAGCCUGUGCUCACUUGGAAGUAAUAAGAGGGACAACAUUACCUGAGAAUAUCCAGGGAUAAAUUGGUUCCUAAUCUGUUGUGGAAAAUACAAUUAGCUAUAAAAUA